CCGAGUUUCUUACUCAAAACCCUGCGAACCUACCUCUCUAUGCUUCGGCGGUCGGCCCCGGGGGGCGCUAAAACGGCCGCCGACAGUAUUCAAAAUCUCUGUCAGUGUAUUCUGAGUAACCAAAGAAAACAAAUCA
rnacentral:misc_RNA from 1 species